rnacentral:rRNA from 1 species
GAUGAACGCUGGCGGCGUGCUUAACACAUGCAAGUCGAACGGUGAACGAGGGAGCUUGCUCCUUCCGGAUCAGUGGCGAACGGGUGAGUAACACGUGAGCAAUCUGCCCCGAACUCUGGGAUAAGCGCUGGAAACGGCGUCUAAUACCGGAUACGACGCGCGAAGGCAUCUUCUGCGCGUGGAAAGAAUUUCGGCUCGGGAUGAGCUCGCGGCCUAUCAGCUAGUUGGUGAGGUAACGGCUCACCAAGGCGACGACGGGUAGCCGGCCUGAGAGGGUGACCGGCCACACUGGGACUGAGACACGGCCCAGACUCCUACGGGAGGCAGCAGUGGGGAAUAUUGCACAAUGGGCGCAAGCCUGAUGCAGCAACGCCGCGUGAGGGACGACGGCCUUCGGGUUGUAAACCUCUUUUAGUAGGGAAGAAGCGAAAGUGACGGUACCUGCAGAAAAAGCACCGGCUAACUACGUGCCAGCCGCCGCAGUAAAAC